rnacentral:rRNA from 1 species
GCUCAGGACGAACGCUGGCGGCGUGCUUAACACAUGCAAGUCGAGCGGUAAGGCCUUUCGGGGUACACGAGCGGCGAACGGGUGAGUAACACGUGGGUGAUCUGCCCUGCACUUCGGGAUAAGCCUGGGAAACUGGGUCUAAUACCGGAUAUGACCUCAGGUUGCAUGACUUGGGGUGGAAAGAUUUAUCGGUGCAGGAUGGGCCCGCGGCCUAUCAGCUUGUUGGUGGGGUAAUGGCCUACCAAGGCGACGACGGGUAGCCGACCUGAGAGGGUGACCGGCCACACUGGGACUGAGACACGGCCCAGACUCCUACGGGAGGCAGCAGUGGGGAAUAUUGCACAAUGGGCGAAAGCCUGAUGCAGCGACGCCGCGUGAGGGAUGACGGCCUUCGGGUUGUAAACCUCUUUCAGCAGGGACGAAGCGCAAGUGACGGUACCUGCAGAAGAAGCACCGGCUAACUACGUGCCAGCAGCCGCGGUAAUACGUAGGGUGCAAGCGUUGUCCGGAAUUACUGGGCGUAAAGAGUUCGUAGGCGG